UACAGAGGGUGCAAGCGUUAAUCGGAAUUACUGGGCGUAAAGCGUGCGUAGUCGGUUAUCUAAGUCGGGUGUGAAAUCCCCGGGCCUCAACCUGGGAAUUGCAUUCGAUACUGGAUAGCUAGAGUUCGGCAGAGGGAAGCGGAAUUUCCGGUGUAGCGGUGAAAUGCGUAGAUAUCGGAAGGAACAUCAGUGGCGAAAGCGGCUUCCUGGACCAGAACUGACGAUCAGGCACGAAAGCGUGGGGAGCAAACAGG
rnacentral:rRNA from 1 species